AUGAAAGCCUAACAACUUGGAACAUGUCUAGAAAUUCACUGCAGGCUAUCCAUGUAAAGGUUGUGAUAUCUAGGAACUCAAUGCUUCACUACGAACACUGUAGGUCAACAACUAUUGUCUUCAAAGGGUUAUCCUUGUGACAGAACAGUUACUGCUCCACUCCAACCAUGGCAAGUCACCCAUUUGUAUACUCACUGCUUCACUUCAACUAUUAUCUUCAAUGGGCUGGUUGUUUCUUUGACAGAGUUUGCUGCUGCCUGCACAGAUGAUGAAAGUCUAACAACUUGGAACAUGUCUAAAAACUCACUGCAAGCUAUCCAUGUGACUGUAAAGGUUGUGCUAUCUAGAAACUCAACGCUUCACUUUAACCACUGUAGUUCAUCCAUGUGACAGGGACCAUUAUCUUCAAUUGGCAAGUCUUAAAGUUUUUAUCCAAUGUCUACUAAAUUUGAACUUUACUUCGCCUCAUCAAACGAAACUUGUCCUGUUUACUGGGGUUAGAUAUCUCUAGUUUUUUUACCUUAUCAAGUCCUGGGACACUGGUAACUAAACAAAUGUUUUUGUAACCUUUAAAUUGUUCCCAGGCUGACUUUGUGUCAUUCAUGCAACAUUACCAAAGUUAGUGCCAUUCUUUUAGAAAGAUUGCAAAUCUAAUAACAGUUCAAGAUCCAUUUGUUUCAAGUUUAAUAAAUUGUUCUUUCUUGGGAUCCUUCUCUUUUAAUUAUAUUUUUUGUUCAA